rnacentral:rRNA from 1 species
AACGAACGCUGGCGGCAUGCCUAACACAUGCAAGUCGAACGAGACCUUCGGGUCUAGUGGCGCACGGGUGCGUAACGCCUGGGAACCUGCCCUUAGGUUCGGAAUAACUCCCCGAAAGGGGUGCUAAUACCGGAUAAUGUCUUCGGACCAAAGAUUUAUCGCCUUUGGAUGGGCACGCGUUGGAUUAGCUAGUUGGUAGGGUAAAAGCCUACCAAGGCGACGAUCCAUAGCUGGUCUGCGCGGAUGAUCAGCCACACUGGGACUGAGACACGGCCCAGACUCCUACGGGACGCAGCAGUGGGGAAUAUUGGACUAUGGGCGCAAGCCUGACCCAGCUAUGCCGCGUGAGUGAUGAAGGCCUUAGGGUUGUAAAGCUCUUUUACCCGGGAUGAUAAUGACAGUACCGGGUGAAUAAGCCCCGGCUAACUCCGUG